GAUGUCGCGAACAAUCGAUAUCGAAUUCUGAGGAAGGUCCGGCCACCAUACUAAGGUUGUCUUUCGAAAGGAAGAUUCUCGCGAGGGAAAGCUCCAGAACAGAAACGAUCCUAUUAAGUUAGGCUGAAACGGCUGUCUCAACCGGUGCAACCUCUUAGAGGGCUUAGUCGAAUGUUAACACAAACCGUCUGCUUAACCGCGGGGUUUGACAGAAGCUGGCCUAUUCCCGACUUAC
rnacentral:RNase_P_RNA from 1 species